GACGAACGCUGGCGGCGUGCCUAACACAUGUAAGUCGCACGGGACUGGAGGGCAACUUCCAGUUCAGUGGCAGACGGGUGCGUAACACGUGAGGAACUUGUCCAACGGCGGGGGAUAGCCGGCCCAACGGCCGGGUAAUACCGCAUACGAUCGUUCGGGGGCAUCCCUGAACGAGGAAAGCAGCCGCAAGGUUGCGCCGAUGGAGAGUCUCGCGGCCUAUCAGCUAGUUGGCGGGGAAUGGCCCACCAAGGCGACGACGGGUAGCUGGUCUGAGAGGAUGGCCAGCCACAUUGGGACUGAGACACGGCCCAGACUCCUACGGGAGGCAGCAGUGGGGAAUCUUGCGCAAUGGCCGCAAGGCUGACGCAGCGACGCCGCGUGUGGGAUGACGGCCU
rnacentral:rRNA from 1 species